GACGAACGCUGGCGGCGUGCUUAACACAUGCAAGUCGAGCGGAAAGGCCACUUCGGUGGUACUCGAGCGGCGAACGGGUGAGUAACACGUGAGUAAUCUGCCCUUGGCUUUGGGAUAGCCACCGGAAACGGUGAUUAAUACCGGAUAUGACCAUGUCACGCAUGUGGUGUGGUGGAAAGUUUUUCGGCCAGGGAUGUGCUCGCGGCCUAUCAGCUUGAUGGUGAGGUAAUGGCUCACCAUGGCUUCGACGGGUAGCCGGCCUGAGAGGGUGACCGGUCACACUGGGACUGAGACACGGCCCAGACUCCUACGGGAGGCAGCAGUGGGGAAUAUUGGACAAUGGGCGGAAGCCUGAUCCAGCAACGCCGCGUGAGGGAUGACGGCCUUCGGGUUGUAAACCUCUUUCAGCAGGGACGAAGCGCAAGUGACGGUACCUGCAGAAGAAGCACCGGCCAACUACGUGCCAGCCGCCGCGGUAAUAC
rnacentral:rRNA from 1 species